CGUCCGGGGAGGGAGGGGAGGAUGCCUCAAUAAGAGGACGGGGGUCGUGGCGGUGGGAGCCAGACCCUCAGCCAGGAGCAGUGCGACCCAUCUUGGGCUCCAGACCUAACAGGACUGACCUCUCCAAGAACCAGAAAUGUAGACUUAUGGCCAAAGGCUGAAAGGAGAGAUAAAAGACAAAGCCAGGAAUUGAAGGAGAUUAAUUUCCCCCAGCAUACAAUUCCCUCCUCCUGCUCAGAGAAGGGCCUCUGUGAACAGGUCAGCCCUGGCUACGGGCAGACCCGAGAACCCUCUGAGAGGGUUCUGGAACGGUGCCAAAUACCAGACUCUACAAGAUUCUGGAUCUCAAGCUUCUUCUUAAAUACUGGAUGUGUCAGCUAUGUUAAAUACCCGCCCCCAAUCCCCUUGUGUUCACUCCUGUGGGCAGCAGGACUGUAAAGCCAGUAAAGGCAGUAUGUGUUAGUGACCAGAAACCCUGGCCAGGUUACAAAAA